AUGAAACAUGCUGUGCUGGUUUCUGAAAACCAAGAAGCCUGGAGAGAAAUUUAUGACUUUGAAACAAAAUUUAGAGGUUGAAGGAUUUAACAGUUUGCAAAGAACAUGGAGCUAAGCCCCUGAAAAAAGCUGUUCAAAAAGUCCUGGCCUAAAGUGCCAAGGUCGUUUUCAGAAGUCCCCGCAGAAGCUCUUAGGAAUCGGAAAGCGUAAAAAUGGGGAGAGAGUAUUUUGAAGACAUCUUUCCCCUGAAAGCUGUUGCUUGUGAGCCUGUGCAUUUUCCCACACGAAUAUGCUCGGCCGUUAUGUUAGCCAGGCAUUUCCUGCAUGCGGCAGUUCUGGAGGCCGGAAGUCCAGGGUCAAGGUGACAGUGGAUUCAUUUCCUGGUGAGGACCCUCUUCCUGGUUUGUACAUGUGAUUCCUAGCAGUCUCCAUCUUGAAGUUCUCUUCUCCUUUGACCAAGCAUCCAGCACAUCCUCACAACACUCCAAAGCCACCUUGAAGACUCUCUUCAAAGCAGUUCUUACUGUUGAUACCACCACCAUUGUUCCGACACAUGAAGCAGGAGGACCCAAGGCCAGAGGUCAUGGUGGAGAGAUGAGCAGAUAGUCCUCAAAGGCAGACAGGGCUGGGGUUGGAGAGGAAUUCCCUAAUAGCUGUUAUAAAUGGAGAUAUGACAGGUGUGAACAAACAACCUAGGACUGGAAGAAAGAAGAGGG